rnacentral:rRNA from 1 species
UACGUAGGGUGCGAGCGUUAAUCGGAAUUACUGGGCGUAAAGCGUGCGUAGGCGGUCCGCGAAGUCUGAUGUGAAAGCCCCGGGCUCAACCUGGGAACUGCAUUGGAAACUAACGGGCUCGAGUGUGGCAGAGGGGGGUGGAAUUCCACGUGUAGCAGUGAAAUGCGUAGAGAUGUGGAGGAACACCGAUGGCGAAGGCAGCCCCCUGGGCUAACACUGACGCUGAGGCGCGAAAGCGUGGGGAGCAAACAGG